GUAGUACUCCCUCUGUUCCGAAUUACUUGUCGCAGCUACGGAUGUAUCUACAUGUAUUUUAGUUUUAGAUACAUCUAUUUCUGCGACGAGUAAUUUGAAACGGAGGGAGUAGAAA
rfam:Triticum aestivum genome assembly, contig: Triticum_aestivum_CS42_TGACv1_scaffold_485902_6AS